AAGAAGCUCCAGGAUUAACUCAAAGCUGAGCAGGAAGCUCUCUACGGUUUAAGAAAAAAAUCCAUCCAAGACUCAAAGUAUAAAGAAGUCACCUAGACACUCAAUUGGUGGUGUAAACCAUAGGGUGUCCAUUGGUGGAGCCAUGAUGCAAGCACCCAAAACAGACGUUAUAUUUGAAGAAUGUUCAUGCUGCCAAGAGAAUUGAAGACAUUGCCUGUUUGUCCCCUGGUAAGCCCCUAUCAGGUUUCAUAGUUUUAGCAUGAGUCUCGAGAUUCACAGUGGGUGGAACAUCAGAAAAUUAGGGAACCAGAACAUAAACUCUCUGAAAAAUAUCGUAUAUUCAGACAUAGAAGACUUAAUGUGGUAGAGAUUAUAGUUAUUAAGCAAACAAGUUUUUUCUAAUUUAUAUCCAACCAUAUUUAGUGGGUUUUAACUAUAGUUAAUUUCUAACAACCAGGCUAUUGUUACGCUUUUCUAGAAUUUGUUCUAGGCUUGGGCUUAUAGAUUUGUUGAUGAACUUGACUCUAAUACUUAUACCACUUACCUUGCAGAAAGGCUUUGUUUUAUUGGUGUUUAACCAUCAUCGAUAUAGAGGAUGAAUAAAUGUUCUUGGAAGAUGUUGCUUGAUUUUUGAGCCCAUGUGCUAUGCUAAUAUUUUGGUUGGUGUUUUUUGUGUUCUCCACUGGAAUAACCAUAGCUUGGCUUUCCUGAUGUUAUUGCUCUGAAGUGUCUACCUUGGUUAAAAUCACUUCGUGUUAUCUCAACUUUGUGUUGCCUUCAUGCCAAAUCCUACAGAGCUUUGAUGAUGUUCUGUGCCAAUUUUCUUUUAGAAUUAUACUUUCUUUCAUGUUUGAUAUUUGAUCCUUAAUUAGUAUCUACUGCCCAUGAUUUUGUUGUUACUGGAAGCAUCGCCUUGAAUGUCGUUUAGCUUUGAAAGGGAAAGGUUUCAAUAGGGGAUUUUAUUACUGUUAGAGGGUAGGAUGUUCAACCGUGCAUUCAAUUUUUUUCUCUGACUCUGUAUUGCUUUACUAUUGCGGUGAAUUAUAUUUUUAUCCAGUUUUGCUCCUCUUGAUGAUUGGAAGUUAGCAUUGCUCCUGUUAGAGCAAGAGUAUACCAAAGCAAGAUCCAACCGAGCUAAGGAUAAGAGGUUUCUGGAUUAGGUAUCUGGUGCAGAGCCGAUGGAGAGAAGCAACAUCAUGAUGCUGCUAUAUCUUAGUGGUCUUUCUUUCACUAUGGUGAUCUGCUUCUUAUCUGUUCUAGGUGUCACUGUCAUAGCUUGCUUAGCAUUACUCAGAUAUACGCUAGGCAGUGGUUACCUUCCUUCUUUUGAAGGUUGUAAACACACAUUUAAGUCACACAUACACCAUACAAGGUAUUGAAUAACAUAUCCUCUAAUUUUUACAGGCGUCUUUUUGUUUUCCAGAAUUUUUGGUUAUAGCAUGCUACUUCUAUCUCUUGGAUAUAUAAGCUAAACUCAACUAGAAGUAGUAUUUGCUAAUUAUCUAUUUGCAAUUCAAUUGUUUAGUUAUUUUAGGGCCGUUAGUUCAUUGAUUUAAUGACUUGUACC